rnacentral:rRNA from 1 species
UACGGGGGGGGCAAGCGUUGUUCGGAAUUACUGGGCGUAAAGGGCGCGUAGGCGGUCAGACUAAGUUCAAUGUGAAAUACCAAGGCUUAACCUUGGCAGGUCGUUGAAUACUGGUCGACUAGAGUGUGGAAGGGGUUGCUGGAAUUCUUGGUGUAGCGGUGAAAUGCGUAGAUAUCAAGAGGAACACCAGAGGCGAAGGCGGGCAACUGGGCCAACACUGACGCUGAGGCGCGAAAGCUAGGGGAGCAAACGGG